GUCCACGCCGUAAACGAUGAUAACUAGCUGUCCGGGCUCAUGGAGCCUGGGUGGCGCAGCUAACGCAUUAAGUUAUCCGCCUGGGUAGUACGGUCGCAAGAUUAAAACUCAAAGGAAUUGACGGGGGCCUGCACAAGCGGUGGAGCAUGUGGUUUAAUUCGAAGCAACGCGCAGAACCUUACCAGCCUUUGACAUGCCUAGUAUGGUUUCCAGAGAUGGAUUCCUUGUCUUCGGACGCUAGGACACAGGUGCUGCAUGGCUGUCGU
rnacentral:rRNA from 1 species